rnacentral:rRNA from 1 species
CUGCCGGACCCCACUGCUAUCGGAAUGGGACUAAGACAUGCUAGUCGUGCGCUUUCUAGCCAUGCUGGAAGCGCGGCACACAGCUCAGUAGCACGUGGCUAACCAGCCCUUGGGACGGGAACAACCCCGGGAAACUGGGGCUAAUUCCCGAUAGGUGAAGAUCCCUGGAAUGGGUUUUCGCCCAAAAGACGUUUGGGUCAUGCUUUCAGACGUUGCCCAAGGAUGGGGCCGCGGCCGAUCAUGUUGUUGGUGAGGUAACGGCUCACCAAGCCUUUGACCGGUUCGGGCCGUGAGAGCGGUAGCCCGGAGAUGGGCACUGAGACAAGGGCCCAGGCCUUACGGGGCGCAGCAGUCGCGAAAACUUCGCAAUAAGCGAAAGCUUGACGGGGUCAUCUAMGAGUACCAUCUGCUGAGGAUGGCUUUUACCCAGUAUASAUAGCUGGAGGAAUAAGGAGAGGGCAAGUCUGGUGUCAGCCGCCGCGGUAAUACCAGCUCUCCGAGUUGUGGGGACGUUUAUUGAACCUGAAGCAUCCGGAGCCGGCUGUGUAAGUCCUCUGUUAAAUCCAACGACUAAUCGUUGGCGUGCGGGGGAUACUGCUCGGCUAGGGGGCGGGAGAGGCCGUCGGUAUUCUUGGGGUAGGGGUGAAAUCCUAUAAUCCCAGGAGGACCACCAGUGGCGAAGGCUGUCGGCUAGAACGCGCCCGACGGUGAGGGAUGAAAGCUGGGGGAGCGAACCGGAUUAGAUACCCGGGUAGUCCCAGCUGUAAACGAUGCAGGCUAGGUGUUAGGGCGGCUACGUGCCGCUCUAGUGCCGCAGGGAAGCUGUUAAGCCUGCCGCUUGGGGAGUACGGCCGCAAGGCUGAAACUUAAAGGAAUUGGCGGGAAGGGCGAAUUC